rnacentral:tRNA from 1 species
UGGGGUAUCGCCAAGCGGUAAGGCAGCGGGUUUUGAUCUCGCCAUUCCUAGGCUCGACUCCUAGUACCCCAGCUA